AUUUUGUUUGUGUAAAAUGUUAUCGAUCAUCGAAAAACAUUUUACACAAACAAAUUCGAUGUUUAAAAGUGUACAAGUUGUGUGUGAUGUUUAGUGUCAAGUGUGUGUGUUCACAAAUGGACAAUAAGGAAACUAUGAGUAGAAAUUAUUCCAAAUUUCGCCACUAACUUCACAAAAAGAUCGAGAACCACCUAAAAAUCGCGUGUUUUAUUAUAUAUUGCAGUAAAGUCAACGAAAGGAAUCAGAAUCUCACAAUUCGACAUCACAUAGGAAUGACAUAAAAAACUCGCUUGAAAAUAGGAAUCAUUCCCCGAAACGCGUCGUGUGAAAAUUAAAAUAAAGAAAAUCGUGACUGGUAGCAGAUGAGUUAUUUUUAAACACACCUAUUGUUUUCUCAGUCGCGGGCUUUCAGAACCAUUUAUAAUGGAUCAAAUCAGAACUGUUUACUAUUUCGUGCGUUCUCCCUACUUUCAGCACAAACAACUAAACAAAGUUAAUGUGAGAUCGGUGGCUGAUACGAGACCUUAAAGGCAUUGCACAUGUAAGGUUCGCCUGAGACCCCGCACUGUUUGUCAACUUAGUUUGUUCCAGAACACUGAGCAGUGUUACUCUUUCCGGCUUUUGGUUGUGUUGUGUUUAUAAAUCAACGACGUCGAACUUACAAGAGAGCAUCACAGCAUCUAAAGAAAUCACACGUACGACGUACAUGCGAAUUUGGCUUCACAAACACCUUCGGAGUCAGAUUUGGGAUGUGCCAGCGAGGUGGAAUUCUACUCUGUUACAGCGAAUAGUUGAAGUGAAAGAUGCAGUGAAGACUAACACUAAGUACUGUGAAUUUCGAACAACUGACAGAGGAUGAAUGGAACAUCUGUUCAGGACGCUGUUCUGUGUUGAAACUAGAUGAGCGUGUUUCAACACAACUUAGUGCAGAGUCCUAUCCUGCUGGCAGCCAAGUUAUUGUCCUGACAAGGGGAUUGUCACCAGUGUGUGCUGAACUUUUGAAGAGGCCACGUGUGUUUCUGUUGUCGAAGGGUUAACAAAAGACCUGAAGGACCAUUUCCGCAAAGUAGAGAUGAGAAAGUCUACAGCAGUAGCUACUCUACUUGAUACACAUUUCAAAACUUGUCUGUAAACCGAGUAGCAGCAAAAAAACACAAAGAAGCUGCUUGUUGCCAGCUAAUGCAAAAGCUGGGUGACAGAAGACCGACAAACACCGGCCAGGGUCACGAAACUAUCAGUGUUGACUAGCACUGAUCCCUUGUCAGUAUGGAGAGUUUAUGAUGCAACAGUUCCGGGGCAGUCCUCAGUCAGCUGCUGCUGUGGAAGUACAAAGCUAUCUGGACAAGUAAUUAGCAGAAGUGAGGAUCCACUUGCAUGGUAUGUGAGAGUAUCAAUAUAUUUUCUGGAAUAUUUCAAAAGUGGUAAAGGAACCACCUCUGUACCAUGUGAAAGGAUACUUUUGAAACCAGGUGUCCUUGUAGGUGAAAGGUGAACACAUCUCGAGGCUUCGAAAGUCAAAAAACUAUGAACAGUAGAGACGCAUGAAUUUCCUGAUAUAUGUUACGGCAUCACAAGUCAGUCACUACCAAGGAGAUGUCGCACAGUUAUAGUGUGGGAAACUUGAAGAAUAAGGUAUCCUUUGGAUACAUUUCACCACUUAAAAUGGAGGUAGUGUGUAUACUGGCAGAUGGUAACUCGCAGCUCUUUGUUCCCGUUAUGGCUCCAAAAGUCCUUCACCAGCAGCAGAUGUCACACAGUCAUGAAGAGGACCUUUAAGAAACGGUCACUGCUCUAAAAUCCCUCACCAGCAGCAGACGUCACACAAUUAUAAUUUGGAAAACUUGAAGAAUGAGGUAAUAGUGGUUUGCUACAUGAACGGCAAAUAUGACCUUUCACUUAAAAUGGAGGUACAUUUGCAAUAACUAGUCGUAUAUGCAGCAGUCUGUGAAGCAGUCUGACAGUGUGCAGACGUUCUGUGAAUGAAGUGUCCAGCGGUAGUGGUGUGUUUGUAUGAUGUGAUAGAGAAAAAUGUUGCAGUGUAGUCGCAUAUGUAAUUGUGUGUAUAUUUCAUCAUUGUUUGCUAGUUGCAAUGUUUUCGUGGGAAUCAAAUAAUAUUGUACAAUAGGGGCUAACUGACUGAGGCGGUGCAGCUGUUAAUGGCACUGACCUCAUGUGCAGGAGGAUGGUGUUCACUCUGUCCGGCCAUCCUGAUUUGGGCUUUCCGUGGUUUUCCUGGACACUAAGGCAAAUGGCUGGGAUGGUUCCUUCAGCAAGGCCAUGGCCGACCACCUCUCUCAUUCUUAUAGAGAUCCUGUAAACAUUCUCUCUCUCUCUCUCUCUCUCUCUCUCUCUCUCUCUCUCUCUCUCUCUCUCUCUGUCUGUCUGUCUGUCUGUGUGUGUGUGUGUGUGUGUGUGUGUGUUUUGGUCCCACUGAAUAGGCCAUGGCCAAGUAGCUGCCCCAUCCUUGUCCAGAGUUUGUACUCAGCACCUUAACUCUGUUUAUUCAUUCUCUUUAUAAUAGCAUAAUAUGUUUUAAACCCUCCAUAUCAUUGUGGAAAACAGUAGAAAUAAAAUUAUCUCAUAAUGUAUACUCUUUUUUGUUUUAGAUACCAUUUUUUAUUUUAAAAUAUCUUCCUUUUUUCCCUGUACACUGUUAAAUAAUUUGUUGAAAACCCAGGAGCUUCAAGAUGAGUACUUACUACCGGUGUAGGAUAUACAGGGUGUCCGAAAAGUCUUUCCCUGAUUACAUAAAUUGAUAACUCAGGCUAGAAGUAAGAUACAAAUAUGAAACUGGUGUCUAUAAUUGUUUACAAACUAUCAAAGUUUUUUCACACAUCAGUAAACUUCCACAUGAGAACCCUUUGUGGCAUACACCACUUCUAACAAACGCCGAACAACGCGCUCCAGUACGCGGCCGCCAAAUACAUCACUGGCCACACUUCUCUGGGCGGCCCGCUGCUUCCAUCGCAGGCCGUCUUCACACGCACGCUCCCUUACGUGGCCGAGAAAUACAUCGCUGGCCGAACUUCUCCGGGCGGCUUGCGGCUACCAUCACUGGCCGCCAACGCGUGAGCGCGCGCGCGUUUGUCAGCACACAGCAAUUGCCUACGCCAGGAAACAUUGCAAUUGGUUUUCCCUGGACAACAGCGACCCCAGCUGACGGCUCCAUUAACUAGCAAGCCUUAUAUAAACCCAGCCGACAGUUCUCAUCGGGAAGUGCAGUACGCCGUGUUCCAGCUGCUUGUGGAUGACUCGCCGCACCACUCGAGGUUACCUGGCUGCUCGGCGGAAAUCUACACUCGGAGAGACUGAACUUCACUGGACUUGGGAAUAAUUACGGGACGUGCACACCACCAUGUACAUUUGGACAUUGGUAUAACCAAACUUUAAUUAUGCAUUACUUCUGAGUGUGAGCCUGGGUAGACGCUUGGCUAACAUAAUUAUUAAAAAGUGAUUUGUGAUUUAAUAAACCAGACUGAAGAGGUUAUUGUGUUAUUCCUGGUUAUAACACCCUUGGUAGCAUGUAACACAUCUAGUUGCUAUUCAGUUUCCCUCCACACAUUAGCCAACUUCACUGGAGGGAUCGAUUCAGCGACUGUGGAUAUCCUUUGCCACAGGGUUUCAAGAUCUAGUACGCAUGUUCGGUAGACCUCAUCCUUGACAUAACCCCAUAAAAAGAAGUUUAACGGGGCUAUGUCAGCAGAGUGUGGAGGCCAAACCAUUGGCCCAUCACGACCAAUCCAUUGCCCAGGAAAGGUCAUAUCGAGAUAGGCACGGACGUCCAAACCCCAAUGAGGCGGUGCACCGUCUUGCUGAAACAAGACAUCGGGGUGAUACUGAAGCAGCUGAGGAACAGCAUACAGUUGCAACAUGUCCAGAUACGCUGCAGAUGUGACGGUAGCCUCAGCGAAGAAGAAUGGCCCGAUAAUUCGAUUGUGCAAUAGCGCGCAUCAAACAUUCACCUUUGGACUGCCUCUGGUGCACUCAUUGACCUCGCCAGGGGGUUGUGAACCCCAAAUGCGCACAUUAUGGCGAUUCACUACUCCACUGACAAAAAGGUUGCUUCGUCGGAAAAGGCAAUUCGUCUGAGAUAACCAUAAUCGUCCUGAAUACGUGAUAGCAUUUCGACCGCAAAGUCAUAUCGACGUGUACCGUCAUUGGGCAACAAGGCCUGAACGAUUUGCCCUUUGUAUGCACGAAACAAUAAACGUUUGUGUAUAAUGUCAUGGAGAGAGCUUUUUGGCAUCUGUAAUUCACGUGACGCCCUGCGCACCGAUUUCUUCGGACUUCGCAGAAAAGACUGCCUUACAGCUCCCACCCUGUCUGCUGAGGUUCCUGGUCGACCAGACCUCGGAAGUUCAGCAACUUGUCCUGUGUUCUUCUCAUACGAGGCUUUAAUGCUCUUGACAUCAGGUGGCUUCGUUGCAAAUGUUGUCUGGAAGUGUCUCUGCACUGUGGUUGGUGAUCGUGUCUCAUGGUACCACAGGACACAUUGUGCCUUCUCCUGAUUGUUUAACAUGGCUUCUUGGGCACUGCAGCUCAUCCACUACUUACGUACUGCAAACCUAAAACAGAAAAAGAAAACUUUGAUAGUUGUAAACAAUUCGACACAAGUUUCAUAUUUGUAUCUCACUUCUAGCCUGAGUUAUCAAUUUAUGUAAUCAGGGAAAGUCUUUUUGGACACCCUGUACUUUAUGUACAAGUAAGGGAAUUUCCCUCAUAUUGCAUAGCCAUGUAUGUCUUAAAUUGAAAUGCUAUGCAGUAAUUUUUAAAAAAUAUAUUUUGUUAAUUUUGGGGCAGGAUAGGAAAGUCAGCUCAGCAGUGAUACAAAAUGUAGCACAUCUUCAACCUUCUCAAAAAAUGUGCUUAAUAAUUUGUGGCACUACUCUGAAAAAAACUCUCACUGUGUCUAAUACAUAAUAUGGAAAGCUAUGAGAUAUUGUGAAGAGUAUACAACAUGUUAAUUUUUAUAAGAUUUUGCACUUACUGAAAUAUUUGAGUAUUUUAGGUGACCUGAAAAUGGAAAAUAGUUGAAUAUCUUCUCAAAAUAUACCAUAUCCCUAAUGCUUAGUGGCAUAAUAAUGAUGAAAAAGUGCCACUGCCGUAUCAGGUCAAUCUUGUUAAAGGUGUAUCUUAUCAACUUCAGUACAGAAAGACUUAUGUAAUUUGUGGAACUUCAUUGUGACAUUAUUAAGAGAAAGAUGAGUUUUUCUCAAUUUGUACGCAUUGUAGGCUUUGUUUUGUUUAAUUAGUUUUUGGUCAUUGACUUUGAAACAUUUUCUACAUGUAGUUAGUACAUCAGUUUUAUACAGGAAAAUUGUACAAUUGGGUAUUUACCCUUGAGACACCAGUUUGCCAAAUUAACCAUUUGAUAGAGGCAUACUUGGAAUGAAUACAGGUGUGCUUCAAACAAUAAUCAUGUCAGGAUACUUUGUCAAUGGUAUUUAAAUAAAAGUGGAUUUACUUACAUUAGA